GCAGAUUACAAGUAAACUCAGCGUUUCUGGAGUGUUCCGUGUUGAACCACUUCCCUCAAGAUUAGACUCGGUGACCCUAAACAGCUCAGUAUUGGUUUCAAACGGGGCCCAGUCUCUAUUUGUUACUGACUGACUGACUUUAACAGCAGCAUUGGAUCUUCUAGACAUUGAUUCAAAUGUUGCCCUUGCAUAACGCUUCCUGACGCUUUUCCUCUGAAGGUGGACUCUUCCUAAUGAGUUCUCCUCUAAGGGUGUGCAGGCAGAUGAUUUGGUCUCUAAUGGCUUUACUCAGUCCACCUCAGCAGUUCUCUGUUGUGGUGGGGUCUCAGCGGCCCUGUCGCCUCCUGCACUUCCCACCCUCCCCUUUCCUUAAUCAUAGUGACCCAGCCCACCUUGAGCCUGUGUGCUUCAGCAUACUCAGCACUACUGUGGUAAUAGGUAAUCAGCCUAUGGGCCUAAGCCGCUCCUCAUACCAACAGCAUGGACUCUGCUGUCACCUCACAUCCCAGUCUGAGGGAUGUGGGCUAAGCAUCACCACACCGGUCUCUGCUCACACAGGAAGAUGCAAAAAGCCUUAUUAACUAAUGUGUGGCGUCAAAGUAGUGCAAAUGACAGCGUGCACGGCCUAAAAUGAAUUAGAAUGUUGUGAGAGGAGCAAAGAUAUAUUGAUUGUGUUAAAAAGAAAACCUGCAGCUCCUCAAAGGUCCAUAUGAAGGUCACAUGCUCUCAACCCAUCAUCUGCUCCAGUUUGUUAUUCAAACAGCUGUAAUCACUGGUCCAAGCAACUGACAACUCAACACUUCAGGAACAAAUGGGGUUCAAGGAUUGCAGAAGGGUUGUUACCACCAACCUCAGGCCAGUGAUUCACUGCACCGAGCGAAGACGAGGGGAGGACGUCGUUAACGCCCGGCGAUGCACCAGGAGAUGCUCCAAUCAACAGUUAUCAUCAAGGACAAACAUGGUGAAGCAGAGAAAAACAAACAUAUCAGUCUUAAACAUAAUGACUCCCUCCACUCGCUGCUCUCUGGACCCCUCAUUGCUGAAAACCGUGUGGUCCAGCUCCAUUCAUCUCUGUCACACUGCAUUAGUGCCAUGCGGAGCUCGCACACACACACACAGACGCAGGUCCCUGGUCUGAUCUGCCGUUGGGGGGGUGGGGAGGCCGUGACAGCAGGCCUCUCCGAAGCUGGCCAAUGAAUAUAGAUCACCUAGCUAUUCUCAACCACUGGGCCUCUGGGACCCGGAGCCUCAGACUGGGUCAGACCCGCUCUGUGUGGACAUGCAGAUAGAGCUUUCUCCACUACAGCACCAGCACAGUUUGUGUGCGUAAAGUGAGCGUUUGCAGUCAAUAAAUGGGCAAUAGUUCAGAAUAUAUGUGAAGUGUUCGACAGCGGACUCCAGUCGUAUCUCUGGCAGCGACAGCGCUGAGACUAAUGGAGGGAAACGCGGACGACCCCGGCGAGUUUGCCGGUUUCCUCGGCAGAGCAGAUGGAGACGGAUCACAUUAAAAAAACGGAGCCAGUGUCCCACAUAGUUCAAAUUAAUUCAGACGUAGCUACCACCAAGGAUCCUCAGUCAGAAGAAUGAUUAUCCCGACUCUCAGUAUUUGAUUCACAAACAGGUGUUAAAGAAAUGCAGGAUUCUACAAUAAAGAAAUAAUGAAGUGCUGCUUCCCUUUGUGUCCUCUUUGUAUGUACUUGCAGUAAUCAAGUACAAACAGUACUAGUAGCUUGGUGAUGGCAGGACCCGCCUUUACUGCACCAACUGGGUG